rnacentral:ncRNA from 2 species
GAAUUAUAAAGAGGAGUUGAGAGACGGGCUCUAUGAAACUCCGACAACCUCAGAACUUUCUGAAAGGUGCCAAAACCCGUCCUGAAAAUCAGGAAUUAUAAUUU